rnacentral:lncRNA from 1 species
CACCAAACUGCAAACGCAGCCUGCAUUCUACCCUUGUCCUGCAGGAGGCGGACUCUCUCCAGACAUCUCCUGGUGUCCUGCUUCCUGUCCGAGACAUCUCUCCACUUCCUGAAGGCUGCUGCACAGAUUUGGACAGUCUGUCACCUCAGCAGACUCAGUGCUGUCAGUGUCAGGCAGCUCACCCACCUGCUAACGUCCAUCUGGAAAGCAUCCAUCGUGCUCUGCUGCUCAAUCGUGUUAGCUUGUUCUUCUGAACGCAGGAGUACCAGGAGAGCAGGGAGCGUCUGUACAGAGAAGUGUACAGGAAACAAAUACUGUGGUAGCAAGUUUGCACUGCGUUCUACUGGAAAACUCCAGUUUACUUUAACACCUUCAGCUCAAAACAUGAUUUGUGAACCGCUUGUCUGUACUGAAGUCACCUCCACGAUCUCAGGGUGCUCUGGGGGGGUUUCUAUAGACUUAUGCAGUAUAGGGUAUUCUGGACAUGCUCUCAGAGGAAAAGAGGUUUCUGCUCUUUUCUUCCAGAGAUGGAAAGAGUGAAGAAGCUGGCUCCUCUGAAUGGACUGAAUCAACUUCUCCAUCUUCAUCUCUCUGUUCCUGAUCUUCAAGCCCUUCCAUGCUGAUGAUAACAAAUGCAUCCUAGAACGACAAAACGAAAGCACAAAUCUCAUAUAUAAGAUGCCGUCAACGUUUGGGAGACUGGAAAACACUGCACUGAGUCAGUUUGUCUGCACCUGAACUGAUGUGCGGACAGCUGUGUCCUCUGCCAGGUUGAUGUCCACAGGGUCCAGGCUUUGCUCUGGAGUCUCCUGUCCCACCGAACACAUGACCACCUCGAGCACACCUGCCUCCAGAGCAGCCAGUGCUUGUACAGUACACACAGACUGCCAGGACACAAAACAUGCACAGCUAUAUUGAAACCGAAAGGAAAGUCGUGAUUCAUGUCCAGGACUGUGACUCAAGGAUGUCUGGGAGAGGUAACCACAGGAUGACUCUUACUGAUGAUGAAUCACAGGAGGAACGUGUGGUCCUCAGGACUGAAGCACGGCUGGGAGGAACGAGUCGUUUUCUCAGAGCGGCUGUGUUGAAUGUGUUUUCCAGGUGUUUGCUCUCAUAGUGAUUCUUCCACUGUAACACAAUGAUUGUAUCGCCUUUAAGAUGUGAAGCUGAAAUGCUUCAUUGUUCCUCCAAUAUUCAGAUUAGUACACAACAAAUCUAUAUUUUUUCUCUCUUGAUUCUUUAUUAUCAUCUAUAUUGAAUAUUUGGUUGCAGCCUUAUGCUUAUAUUUGAAAUCCUCUAUAUAGUUGAGUGAAUUGGCAGCAUAUAGGUGAGCCUUGUAAUAACUCAACAUAGUUAAACAACUACAACAUUUUAAAAUGAGAGUUAAACCCUGUUUAAAUGAUUCAAGGUUUCAUUUUACAGGAUUUAAAGUUAACAAAGUGUAAUACUGGACGUGAGCGGCGCAAAUAUCUAUUAGAUAACUCAUUAUAAUCAGUGAUGCUGUCUACACUGGAUGCAAUGUGCUUUCUGUUUAUGAUUUAUUGACAAGUUUCAAAUUGAUUUUCAAAGGUGGCUUUGUCGCGUCCAGUGUAGACAACGUGUAGAGAUGUCUUUAGCUUUUGGCAAUGCAGCACAUUAUAAUUUAUAUAUAUAUAUAUAUGCGAAGAAAAAUAAGAUAUUAUGUCUUGUUUACUGAAAAAUAAAUUAAUAAAUAAUAAAAGUUAGUAUUUGCUUAAUUUUAUAUAUACAUAUAUCUGCCAAUAGUGUAAGAAAAAUG